CAUCCACUUGGCAAUAAAGUUGAAGCAAUAAGAAAGAGUUUGGGCUAGUUUUAGUAUAAAAACACCCCUUUAUCUUCUGAUUUGAGGGUUUACAUGAAAAUCACUCACUUGUCUCUUCUUUUCCUCUUUAUUCACGCACACGCACAAAACUUCAACUGCACCACAUUCAAAUCAAUAGCAUAUCACACAACAAUGGUGAAAACCAAGAGUUGUUGGUUAGAAUAGUGCAAACCUAGCCUCCUUUUCAAGAUUUUCGAAUUGCCCAUGAAGAUUAUACUCUUUGUAAGUGAGGGAAAGUUUAACCUUUAGCAAGGCCGGGAGUAGCCAGUCAAGAUAAUGAUCAAGUCUAAGGAUGAGCUCGACUCAGAGAAAAGAACGUAUUUUGUCAUGUCUUACUUGGAGAUAGCACAAAUUAGAAAGAUGCUUUAAUAAUUUCCUUUAGUUAAACGCCUUUGAAGAUAACAUCUAUUACAUUGAGGUGUGCCAAGGAGUUUGAUACUCCAUUACUAUGAUGCAUAAUUCAGUUUAUACCUACUUUGAUGAGCUUGGAACAAGUAUGGUAUGAUUUAGAGUAAUGAAUGGAGUUGGGAUAUGAGUUUUAUUUUGGUACAACAUUUUUAUAAAAUGACUUAUUCCA